rnacentral:lncRNA from 1 species
GAGAUACUAAUAAAAAUAUUAUUUGAGUUUAACAUGUCACUUGUGUCUUAUGUCUCCAUUACAAUGAAAAUAUCGAUAUAAGCUGGUUACAUGCUUAUUCACAUAAGAUGGGUACAUGCAAGUUUAGUUUUCGAUGAUAAACACCUCUGCCUUUUUCCAUUCAUUCCUUUAGAGUAACUGCCCUACAACACCCCCUUCCAUCUGCAAAGUGUCCCUUCCUACCCUUGGCCAACAAGAUACAAGGUAGGUGCCAUCUUUUUUGCCACCACGAGUAACGAACCCAACCUGAAAAUUUAAAAAAAUGAGGAGAAAGUGAUAGUAUUUUGUAAAGAAUAUAUAUGGUGAAAUCAGAAUCUUGUGCAACAAUUUAUCAGGCACACAUAUAUAUCAGUACUUUCUAUAAGUGAGGUGGUGAUGCUAAAGAUUGUUAAAAAUCUAUUAUUCCGAAAUAAAGAGUAAGCUAUUAGGAAGUAAAAAAUAAUGAUGCAAAACAUCCAACUUGACAUGAUAGUAGUCAAACAUCUCUUAAAUCAUCAAAUUAACAGGAAAUGGGAGUGCUCUUUUCGAGUGCCACAAUGUACGAUGUAGAAAUCAUUUGGUAACGGUUUGUCAAACCACAAACAAAAGGAACAAUAAUGUAUUCACCGUAAUGAUAAGCAGCAUAUCCUAGCAAUCUUGUUUUUGUGAAACCAGCGUUACCAUUGAUGCAACCUACAAUUAAAGAACAGUGUAGCAGUCUUAUCUCCAGCCGCAGAAGAGCAAGCAUCAAAGCUACAAAGGCCUACAACUUCCAAUGAUUUCAUCACAGACUGAGAAAGUAGUAAAGAAUGUUUACAUAUGUUGUCGCAUUGUCAUUCUGAAGUAUUUCAUUGAACAAAAUAGUACAAUACCAAAGAACAAAAACAAAUAUUGGCCCAACAACAACAAAUAGACAUUGCCUUGACCACCCUGUACAAAUAAUUUGGCAACUCAUUUUAGGAUACAGGACCCAGAAUAAAAGGAAAAAAAUUAUCUCAAUUUAGUUGCACUAUAAUUAGGUAAGGGAAUUAGUUUGGUGGAGUGGUAAUUGUGGAAACAAAAUGAAAUUGUUCAGUAUCAGAUACUGCCAAUUACAUCUCUAUCACUAAACUGGCUGGAGAUCGCUAAUUAAUCGACGAUAAGAGUUUGCCAACUGUUAAUGUGUGCAUAAACAUGGCACAACACAGAAGAAUCUAAUAAAUCGCAGCAAAACAAUAACAACAAUCACCAGCUUAAAAAAUACAAUAUGCGACAAAUAUCUCAAGUGUUUCUGAAUGUGUUUCACUACCUCCAUGUGUACCAGCUGUCUCUGUAGAAGGAAGCACACUCCUUGUGAACAAGUUGUCUCUGUAGAAAGAAGUACUUCAAAUUAAAUAGAUCCCACCAAAAGAAACAUGGACCUACAGAAAAAUGAAUAUUUUCUUGACAACCAGACUUAAACUGAAAGCAUCCAUCAACAUACCUACAACUUAACUAAACCUUAACCGAGAAACAUCAUCCAACAGGAACAAAAUUCCUACAACUUAACUAAACUGAAAGCAUCCAUCAUCAUCAUGAUGAACCGAAACAUCAUCAUCAUUGCAGUAUACUUGCCACACACCCAUAUAAUCAUCCAUGUAUCUUUUGAAUCUACAAAGAAAAUAAUAAAAUGAAGUGUUAAUAGACAAUGCACUAACAUGAUGCAAGUAGUGAUAGAGGUAGGACAUUAGUCACAUACAAAGGUUGAAGACCAUGAAAUCUUUGUUUUUUCUGCAUUACCGAGAGUAUUGCAGUUUUUGCGACUCCAUACCAAAUCUUCAAUUUUCACAGUGCCAUAUCGACAUGAUGCUAGCAAAAAGAAAGCAAAAAGGCAUGAUUAUUGACAACUGUUCAGAAGCAAUGCAUUGAGAAAUUUAAAUGGCAUUACAGCUAUGAAUUAUCUAGAUCGCUUAUAAGUAUGGCAUUAAAAAAUAUUAGCUCCUACGAUAUAGUAACUUUUUGUUAGUUACUUCAUGCUAAUGCAUGUAUACUAACAGUAAAAACUGGAGCAAUCAGACCAACACCAAAAUCCAGAUAUAUAAAGGCAAGCAUCAGCCAUCCUACACUUGCAGACCGUCAUAUCCAUUGGAACGAGUGCUCCAAAAUAUAUUAUAUGAAGCCAAGACCCAGCCAUGCAUCACAUGAGAAUCAUUCAAUUGGAUAGAAGAACAGUACCCGUAACUAAAGCAGAAUAACAAUCAAAUUCUUAGGCCAGUUUAGCAGGUGUUGAGAAUCCCUUUGUCGGCGUCUUGUGCCACAGGUUGCACUUAGCCGUCAAUGACAUCCAACAGGUACCAGCCACUGCAUAUCGGCUUAGCCUCCUCAGCCUAUCAUCGAUUACGCGCUCUCGCCCACAUCUUGGUAGCAAACGAUGACCAGUCUGCCUUUAAAACAUAU